ACCUCUCUUUUGUAUAGUUAUAGUUAGUUGAAUAGCUCACACCACAAGGAAAAUGUUUCAUUGUUUCAAUAAAGGCAAAACAAAUAAAGCAAGCAAAAACCAUGUUACUUGUAUCUUUAUUAAGUUGGAGGUUGCAUAUAUAGCUGCACUUCCCAACCUUUCUCCUUGUGAUGUAUGGGCUAUUCAGUUGUUUAUUAUUAAUGGUUUGUAAUAAAAAAAAAUAA
rnacentral:lncRNA from 1 species